UGUGUCCCAGCACCUAGAAUGGUUUGUGGCACAAGUCAGGCACCUCAAUAAUAGCUAAAUGAAAACUGUUAUUAGUGAAGCCUAUCAGGCUAUCACACCUGAAACAACAGAAAAGCAUGGGCGGGUGCAGCAGUUAAGAUGCCACUUGGGGGAUGCCAGGACCCAUAUGGGCCCUCAUUCCAGCUUCCUGUUAAUGUCACCUUGGGAUGCAGCAGGUGAUGGUGGCUCAAGUACUUGUGUUCCUGCUGCCCACAUGGUAGCUCCUGGCUUUGGCUUGGUCCAGCCCUGGCUAUUGUGGGCUUUUGAGAGUCAGCAACAGAUGGGAGAUCUCUUUCUUUCUUUCUGCCUUUCAACAAAACAAAACAAAACAAAAAAACACAGGUCCUAGGCACAAACUAACAUGAAAUACUUGUAGUAAGGGUUAUGUCUCUCAAUUACUCAAUUACAGUUUAUGCCUUUGCCACAGCCACUCUUCUUCCAGGUAAACAGUUAAUUGGAUUAGCUUCUUCACAGUGACUGGAAGGCGACUGCAGGGAACAUCUGACCAGCCCUGUAAACAUGAGCCCUGAGCAACAGUGUUGUUUGCUAUUGUAAAUACUAGUCACUGUCAGCUCAAACUAAUUUACAGUGAAGUCAUUCAUUCCAUUCUGAUAAUCAUUAGAUACCUUGCAGCCUAAGGAGUAAUCAAAUACCCAAAUCAAGAAAAAGUAGUUUUCAAGAGUUUAGGUUGGUUGGUUUAAUUACAGUGAAUAUUCGUAUAUGGAGGCACCUACCUCACUGCCCCCAGGGUGUUUGUGUGCACACAUGCACAUGUUUGGGUUUAUCAGGAUGGGUUUAUCAACCCCAGUGGUUAAAGCAUCCGUACACUGGUCAUACUGUGUGUCGCUGUAGUGCAUUGCCAUGAAACAAGGGAACUAAUAGGUGAGCUGUACUGUAUACUGUACCGUGUAUGCUUGGAAACGCAGUCUCCACGGCAUAGGGUUCUGGGCAACUGAGGCAUAGGACACUGGACCAGUUAGAGAAGCAAAAGAAAUUAAAAAAUCAGCGAACAUCAUGUCAGGUACACUUUUUGUAAAACCAUGUUCCUCCCUUUUUACUCCAUGGGCAAAAUUCUACAUCAGGGCUGCUCUUCAGAACGAGGGUUAGACGCGGGCUAACUUCAGCCAAAGAAGGGGACCGGGCGGACAGCAAGCUUUGCGCCCUCUGCUUCUUGGAUCCCGGGCCAGGGCGUAGGCGCUUCGGGAAGGUGAGGGCCCUGCGCGUGGCUUGUUUCCACCGCAGCGCGCAGGCGAGGGAGGGCCCGGGGCGCCCUCUCGUGGCGGCGCCCCGCCAGCGGCGCCAAGCCCCUGCCGGCCUCCUGCUCCGGGGCCGCGCGACCCGAGCCGAACUCGGAUUCUGGAAAUCACAGCGAUCUCACAGUGAAAUGAAGGUGCUCCAACAAUUUAUUAGUGUGUGUGUGUGUGUGUGUACCAGAAGUGUACGUUUUACGAAAUCUGGUUUCCGUCCGUUCUGAGGAAUUAAAAGUUCAUGCCGCGGCGGCAUGCCAGGAGAGUUGCUAUGGGUUGAAUUGUGCAGCCAGCCCUCUCCCCACUCCUGAGUUCAUAUUUUGAAGGACUAACCCCCAGUCCCUCAGCAUGUGACCUUACUGGGAGACAAGAUCUUCAAAGAGGCACUGAUGCCCAAGCACUAGUUGCUAUGCGGUUACCCCUAAUCGCAGGGCUCGGAUUGUCCCUGAGGCCAGUCCAGGGCCAUAUGGAGGCUUCCUUCAAGCAUCUCCAAGAAGCCCAUGCUGAGAAGCUGUCUGGUACACAGAGUUACAUUGCCACGUGGUGGAAUUUCUUUAUUGUACAGAUGAACAAGGGGAAAAUGUGACUCUUAAGAAUUAUGUACAACUAAGCUGUGUGCAGCUGUAACAAGACAACAGAAAAGUGGGAAUUUCUCAUGUUAUUAUUGAAGAUCCAGCUUCCACGCUCUGCUCUUCUCUGCUUCAGGGUGCUAUAGCACCAUGUGCCUAAUGAGUCCUCUCUUUGACUGAUUGAUUGAUUGAUUACUAAAACACUCACACUCCUAGCAAAGCAGUUCUCACUUUGUUGAACAAAUUAUCUUUAUGCAUCAUAAUCUCUUGAGCUUAGAUGAAGUAGAGCUCAUUGUAAUCUUCACAUCAUUUAGCAAUGUCUGGGAAGCUUUGUAUUUGAGACAAGUAGCUAGAUAUUUGGAAAAGGAGUAGUAAUAAAAGAAGGGCCUCUUUGUUUUCUAAUCUAAAUUAGGGAUUGGGAGCAGGCAUUUGGCGCAGUGGUUAAGUUAAUGCUUGGAACACCUGCAUCCAAUGCCUGGUUUGAGUACUGGCUCCUCUUGUUUCCAAUCCAGCUUCCUGCUAAUGCAUACCCUGGGAAGUAGCAGGUGACGGCUCAAGUACUUGGUUCCCUGCCACCCAUGUGGAAGAACCAUAUGGAGUUCUGGGUUUCUGGCUUCUUUUUCUUCUCUUUCUUUUUUUUUUUUUAAGAUUCUUUAUUUAUUUGUUUGAAGGGCAGAGUUAGAGAAAGAGGGAGAGACAGAGAGAGCAAGAGAAAGAUCUUCCAUCUGCUGGUUCGCUCCUCAAAUGGCCACAAUGGUUGGGGCUGGGCCAGGCUGAUUCAGGAGCCUGGAACUCCAUCAAGGUCUCCCAUGUAGGUAGAAGAGUCCCAAGCACUUGGGCCAUCAUUCACUGCUUUCCCAGGCACAUUAGCAGGGAUCUGGAUUGGAUGUGGAACAGCUAGGAUUUAAACCUGCAUUCAUAUGGGAUGCUGGCAUCCCCAGGUGGUAUUUUAAUCCAGUGCACCACAAUGCCUGAACCAGAUUCCUGGCUUCUGUCUGGCCUAGCCUUGGGAAUGAACCAGCAGAUAGAAGAUUUCUCUGUAUAUUUUCAAAUUAAAUGAUGAAAAUAAGUAAACUAAUUAAAAAAUAAAUUAGGGAUGGGCAAAGUACUGUCUACCAAAUCUGACCUGUUGCCUGUUUUCAUUAAGUUAUAUUGGAACACAGCCACACUUUCUUAUUUACAUAUAAUCUAUGGCUGCUUGUGUGCUACAAGAGUAGAGUCAAGUUGCAUCAGCAACUUGGCAGGGUACAGCCUGCCAAGCCUGAAAUCUUUACUACCUGAUUCUUUGCAGAAAAGGUUUUCUGAUCUCUGAGCCAUUUAGCAGUUCUCCAGGUAGAUGUUAUUAUCUGCUCUUCACCCAGGGAACUGGCCCUUAGAGCCAAAGCAGGGUGAAAGUGGAACUCUGUUAUUUGAUCCCAGACCCAUCAUUGUUUGACCAGAUGCCCACAGGAUAAAAUCCAAAAGUCUCUAGUAUGGGGAGCUGGGAUUAUGGCACAAUGGGUUAAGCCAUCACCUGCAACACCCAACAUCCCAUAUGGGAGCUGGUUCAAAUCCCAGCUACUCCAGUUCCAAUCUAAUUCCCUGCUAAUGGGCCUGGGAAAGCAGUGGAUGAUGGCCCAAGUGUUUGGGCCCUUGCACCCACAUGGGAGACCCAGAUAGAGUUCCAGGCUCCUGGCUUUGGUAUGGCCCAGCCCUGGCCAUUGUGGCCAUUUCAGGAGUGAACCAGCAGAUGGAAGAUCUUUCUUCCUCUGUCCCUGUCUCUUCCUCUGUAAUGGCCUUCCAAGCAAAUAAAUAUAUCUUUAAAAAAUGAAAAAUAAAUAAAAGUCUCUAGCAUGGACCCAGCCCACUUGUCCAAUUCCUCCAUCCCUCGCAUUGCUCAGACCAACAACUUGAACUUCUUGUUGGUUUCCCAACAUGCUUGUAACUUCAUGUGUCUGUAUCCUUGUCAAUGAUAUUUCCUUUUCACAAAAUCCUGCACCCUCCUUCUUCAUAAGUCCUCAAGUAGCACUGAAAAAACGUUGCCUCCUUGUUGAACCUUCUCUGACUUUGUCGCACAGAACUGAGAAGAAUGAGAGCUAACGGAGUGGGCAUUUAGCCUAGCAGUUAAGACACCCACAUCCUAUACUGAAGUGCCUGGGUUCAACACCAGGCUCUAGCUCCUGAACACAGCUUUCCACCAGUGCAGACUCUAGGAGGCAGCAGUGGCAGCUCAAGGAGUCUGGAUUUACCUUCCAUGUGGGAGAUCUGGAUUGAGUUUCUGGCUCCUAGCUCCAGGUCUGGCCCAGCCCCAAAUGUUGUGGGCAUUUGGGGCAUGAAUCAGCCAGUGGGAGCUCUCUUUCUCUGCCUCCAUCUCUCUGCCUCUCAAAUAAAACAGAUUUUUUAUUUUUUUUUAAAGAGAAAAGAAUGAGAGCCAACAGAAUUAUUUCCUUUGGUACAUGGACUGGACUGACCACUUUGCCGUAUAUUUAGUUUUUUUUAUGUCAAGUCUAUGGAGUAGGCAAUGAUAGUCUCGUUUCCGAGGGGGCAUAAACAGGUUUCAAGAGGUUGAGUAACUUGGCGAAGGUCCCAGAACUAGCGAGGUUUGGACCCAGGGUUUGGCCCUCCUCCGUGCACUGUAGGAUUGGAGCUGUCCCCACGGAGCUCCGGCACGCGUCCCUUUCCUGCCCCCAGCUCCACCUGCAGGCCUGGCUCUCUAGCAUUUGCUCUGCCUGGUGUGGCAGUGUUUGUCUUCUGGAGACCGGGAACUCCUGGGGGGCAGCCAGCAUGUCCCCUUUAUAAUGAUGGCCUGGCACAUGGAAGGAACUCAGUAAAUGUUUGCCCAGAGAAUGAUGGCAACGUUGAGUUUGCCCAAACCUCAUUUUACUGUCUCAUCCAUGUUACUUCAGUAGCAGUUAGCAUGUUGGUGGUGAGGGACAACAUCUUCCAAAACUCCUUUCUGUUGGUGCCACUGUGUCUCUGCUCCUGUGUCAACUGUGUGCUGUUGACAAGCAGAGCCCGUUGCCAGCUCUGCACUUAGAUUUUACGUCGGUCACUUGGUAUGUGUUCCUUUAAACGUUUCAAAAAUGUUCUUGUGUUUUAUCCAUAAUUGAAUAAAGGUUUGGAGCUUAGAAUAAAAGAUUGAAUGAGAAGAACAAUGGCAGAACACUUUUGUUUCCCCCACAGUCCAACUACCCUUGGAAAAGCCCCCUAGCUCCAGGCGUAGAGUUCAUAAUGGGGAUGCACAUGUCCUUAUGGUUUCCUCAGACCCUAGAAGGGGAAAGGUGGUAGACAGUCACUACUCACUGACAGACAGCUGUCCCCGCAUCCACAGUGGAGAGCUGAGACCACAGAUAGGACUGAGCCCUGCAGGUACUAUGUUUUGCGCUAUCAGAUACGCCUAUGCCAAAGUGUAACUGGUAAAUUAGGUGCAGUAAGAGAGUAACAGCAUUAGCAUCCUAUCAACCUCAGCAUAUCAUUUCAUUUUUUCUCUUCUUCUUCUUCUUCUUUUUUUUUUUUUUACAAAGACAUUUAUUUAUGUGAAAUUUCGAGUUAUAGGGAGAGAGAGCUCUUCUAUCCACUAGUUCACUCCCCAGAUGGCUACAAUGGCCAGGGCUGGGCCAGGCCAAAGCCAGGAGCCAGGAACUUCUUCCAGGUCUCCCAUGGGGCUGCAGGGGCCCAGUACUUGGGCCAUCUUCCACUGCUUUUCCCAGGGUAUUAAUGGGGAGCGGGGUCAGAAGUGGGGCAGCCAGGAACAAACUAGCACCCAUAUGGGAUGCCAGUGUUGCAGGCAGCAGCUUUACCCACUACACCACAGUGUGGGCCCCUCCUCUUUCUUUAUUAAGUUGAGAACUCUCAUCUUUCACUUAAAGGAAGUACUUUAUAACUUCUCUUUGGAAUAUCUGAAUUUCCACCAUUACUACUCUUGUGUCUUGGGACCAUUAUUUUUUUUUAAAGAUUUAUUUAUUUGAAAGUCAGAGUUAUGCAGAGAGAGAAGGAGAGGUAGAGAGAGAGAGAGAGGUCUUCCAUCUGCCGGUUCACUCCCCAAUUGACCUCAACGGUCGGAGCUGCACAGAUCUGAAGCCAGGAGCCAGGAGCUUCUUCUGGGUCUUCCACAUGGGUGCAGUGACCCAAGGACCUGGGGCAUCUUCUACUGCUUUCCCAGGCACAUUAUCAGAGAGCUGGAUCAGAAGUGGAAUAGCCGGGACUCGAAUCAGUGCCCAAAUGGGAUGUGGCACUGCAGGCAGCGGCUUUACCUGCUAUACCACAGCGCCAGCCCCCAGGGACCAUUAUUAAAUAAAACUUUAGACAAGUACUUGGAUACCAGGACAGUCAAUCUGGAAACUGACAGGGCUACAGAGUGACUAGUUGGGGUGGGGGUUGAGUAUGCAGAGUGGAAAUCCUGGACCAAAGUGGAGUCACGUGCCAGAAGGGACAGACAGCAGUGGCUUGAGAUUUCAUCAUGAUCAUCAAAAUCUAAAGCCUAGCAACUCCUAACUUUUUUCUUUUUUUUUUUUUUUAGAUUUUAUUUAUUUAUUUGAGAGGUAGAGUUACAGUCAGUCAGAGGGAGAGACAGAGAGAAAGGUCUUCCCUCCGCUGGUUCACUCCCCAAAAGGCUGCAAUGGCCAGAGCUGUACUGGCCAGAGCUGCACUGAUUCAAAGCCAAGAGCCAGUGUCUCCCACGCAGGUGCAGGGGCCUGAGGAUUUGGGCCAUCUUCCACUGCUUUCCCAGGCCAUAGCAGAGAGCUGGAUUGGAGGAGGAGCAGCCGGGACUAGAACCAGCGCCCAUAUGGGAUGCUGGUGCCGAAGGUGGACCUGCACCACAGCGCUGGCCCCAGAAAUUUCUGGUUUUUGAAUUUUCCUUUUAAUAAUUUUGGGCUGAGGCUGACCUUGGGUCACUGAGACUGCAGAAGCUAAACUGUGGAAAAGGGAGGACUACUGUACCACCUCGACACUUUAUCUGUGCUUGUUGGCGUGUUUCAUUUUGCAUUUUAUGUGAUGAGUUCUGGGAUUUAGGCAGGGCCCAGUCUCCAGGCUCUCAUCGCUCACAGCCUCCUGGGAGAGGACACUGUCCACUGUGGCAGAUUGUGAUUAGUGAGGUGCUGGGCACAGGGCAGGCCGCUGUGCGGGGGUAUGGGAGGCAGCAGCAGUAGCUGGAGUUUGGUGCAAGGCUCAAACAACCAUUGCUGUGUCUAGAGCAGUGCAGGACAAGUGAUGGAGCCAGCAGGAUUCGCACUCUGGCCCUCUGUACGAGCUCUGCUCCCAGCUGGCCCUGACUUCAGAGGAGUUGGGGUAUUGGGGUGGUUAUCUCUGAGGCAUACCCAUGUAUUCAUGGCUCUUAUUUACAGGAUCUUAAAAUCACAGAGAGACGUACAGUGCAGUCUGGCCUUCCCAGUCCCUGUUUCCACUCAUUCACAUUUUAAAAAUUUAUUUACUUAUUUAUUAAAAAGGCAGAGGGAAAGAGAGUGAUAGAUAGAUAUCUCUUCUAUCCACCGUUCACUCCCCAAAUGUCUUUAACAAACCAGGGCUGGGCCAGAUAGAAGCCAGAAGCCUGGAACUCAAUCCGGAUCUCUCAUGUGGGUGUCCAAGCAUUGGAGCAACCACCUGCUGCCUUCUAGGGUGUGCAUUAGUAGGGAGCUGAUUGGGAGUAGAGUGCGCCUGGAACCCGGGCACCUCUAAUAUGCAAUGUGGGUAUCUCAAGCUGUGUUUUAACUGCUGUGCAAAAGCCCAUGCCCUAUCCCUUCCCAUUUAUUUUCUUAUGCCCAAAUCACUGGUUUAGUCCGGAAGGAUUGAUCCAUCCUGGGAACACACAAAGGGAAGGGAUACAGAAUGCACUGCUUUCUGAGGCCUUGCAUUUUCAUGGGAAUUCCAAACAACAGUUACCUAAGGGAGUGUCUGAACUCUCCCUGCCCUCAGAGGGCACAGCAUUCUCUCCAGGCCUGAGAAAUGACGUAGCUCAUAGACGGGGCCGUAUGCUGCAGAAGCCUCUGGAGCUGGCCUCUCACUGCCAGGGCCUUGUCCCCGAUGUUGGAAGCUCCACAAGAUCCGAGGUAGAGUCCAGGGCGGGCCACGGGACGGCCAGCAUUGCCACUACCUACGUCAGCCCUGGAACAGCCCUGGGAGGAAGCCUGUUCUCUCAUCCUGGGUGCUGCCACUGCUGGGAGAUCACGUGCAGGAGUGUUGUGCCUGGGGUCCCAGCCUGCCCCCCCCCUCCCCCCGCCCCGGCAUCUCUCUGCAGGUGCCCCUUUGGUUUUGACCCGGGCGCUAAGUAGUUUUGCUCAGUAUCCCUGGCUCCGGCGAUAACAGGGGUUGUGAAUUAUGGACGCAGCAGCAAAUGUUUUUCAUCUCCCAUGAAACAAAACCAGUGUGUUGUCUGGCCCUGGGGCUGCGGGUGAGGGAGGGAGCAGCAGCUGCCGCGAUACGGCCAACUCGGCUGACGUCAAUGCGAGUCAUUCCAGGCCAAGGGCUCCACUCAGGAAGCUUAGAAGUGAUACCGAAAACAAAUUUGCAUUUUUUCCUUUCACGGGAACUCGGCUCCUCUCUGUUCCACUGGGACGUUUCACCAGCCUUUGUGUGCCGUGAGGCUGUUGAACAAGCCCAGCCUGGCCCGUGAUUGGACGGCGCCCUUCGGUUUUCGUCCUAUGCCGCUCCUUUAAAAUAUAUUCAGCAGGACUCCUGUUCCCUGGCCCAAGAUGAAAACCCUGGCAGGCUCGAACUUUUCUGCUCUGCUCCUCUUAGGAAAUGAUCUGUCUAAUGGUCGCUGUAAAUGGAAAACAGCCUCAAUUUCGAAUUCCAACAUCCAGGCCAAGACAUCCGUCAAAACUCCACACUCUGACAUCCCUGUCUCCUCCCUGCUCCAGCUGAGCCUGCUUAGGGCUGGAAGCCUGCAUGGGAAAUGGGUGGGGCUGGCUCUCAGCUCUCCAGCCUUGGCCUCCUGCUCCCCACUGCCCUCCUCCCAGGCUUGGACGGGAGCCUGGCUGGAGGUGAAAGCUGCCCUCUCUCCCGCCCGCCGGUGCUUGCUCUCUCUUGCCCUUCUCCUGUGUGCUCACUUGAGACUUGCUCCUCAGGCGCUCAGCUUGACCUCCAGCCUCUUGCUGCUGGGAUUUCUGCCCCCGCAGUGAGCAGGCCCUCCUGCGCAGGCCCCUGGAUGGCCCCGUCCUGUGUUGCCUGCCCUGACAAGUGCUGGGACCCACUCACAUCCACCCCAACCCAGCACCAAAGCACAUGGCAGGUGGUAAGCCUGCGUGUUAAUUCCCUUGGCUACUAUCACAAAUGACCACAAACUCGCUGGCUUCAGACAACAGGCGUCUCUUCUCUCCCAGUUCUGGAGGAUGUGCCUUAAAUCAGCUUCCUCGGUGGCUGUUGGCAUUCCUUCCUUUGUGGCCACAUCACUGCAGUUUGUGCCUGCGGGGCCAUGUUGCCCUCUUCCCUGUGUGCCAUGAGGUGCUGGUUCCUUCAUGUAAGGGUCUGAGGAAUUGCACGUAGGGUUCAUGUAAUCUUUUUUUUAAGGUUUAUUUUAUUUUAUUUGAAAGACAGAGUUACAGAGAGAGGUAGAGACAGAGAGAGAGAGAAGUCUUCCAUCCGCUGGUUCACUCCCCAGAUGGCCGCAAUGGCCGGAGCUGUGCCGACCUGAAGCCAGGAGCCAGGAGCUUCUUCCGGGUCUCCCAUGUGGGUACAGGGGCCCAAGGACUUGGACCAUCUUCCACUGCUUUCCCAGGCCAUAGCGAGAGCCGGAUUGGAAGAGGAGCAGCCGGGACUAGCCGGGACUGGCACUCAUAUGGGAUGCCUGUGCUUCAGGCCAGUGUUAACCCACUUCACAGUGCCGGCCCCUCAAGUAAUGAUUCAGGAAGAAUCCAGAAUACUGCACCUGCCUCCUCUGCUCGCCCUCCAUCUGUGAAGACCCUUUCCAAAUCAGGUCACAUUGACUUACAGGUUCCAAGGAUCAGAUCUGACACCUAACUUUCAUCCAGAGCUGCAUGGUGGAGCUCUCCCAGCUUGGUGGAACCCUCCAGGAAGGCUGAGAUGAGGGGGUAGGAACCAAUGUCCUUUCAGGACAUGCAGCCUUCUCCACAGAUGGACCUCUCAGAAAGUCCUCUCUCACCCAGCUGACUCUUUAUUCUCCAGUACCCAAGGAGGCCCAAGGGUCGUGGGUCAAGUCCUAGACCAUUUCUGGUCACAUUGGAAGUAUAGCUUGACUCUCACACUGUCACUUUUCGUACUCUUACCCUUUUUUUCCCCUCAGAGAAACCUUUUAUUUAAGGAAUACAGACUUAAUGCAUUUCAUAAGUUCAACUUUAGGUGCACUGUUACCUUUGCUAAGGAAUUACCUGGGGAUGGGGGUAGGGAGGUGGGGUUGUAACGGAUGCUGCCCAGGGCUGUGGUCUUUAAAGGCUAUGCAAACUGUUGCCUGCAUGAGAGCCAUGGGCAGCCAUUGGGUGCUGAAAUCUGGCCCAUGCUGUGUCUGCUACGCCUGGCACCCUAGUCUUGGUGGCCUCACCUGUGGGAGCAUGGGUGCCUUGUACGUGUUCACCCCAUAUGGUGAACCACUCCCUGCGGUUCUUUCUGGCUUUCCCUGAGCCUCUGCCUGUACCCUGGUCUCACAUAGUCCAAGGACUUGCUAGUGGGUGGCUGGGUGGCAUGGAUGCUGCAGCCUGAGCAUGGAAUGCUGGUGACAAACGACACAGACCCACUUCAGUCUCUGGAUUUCCAAUUUGCAAUCAUUGUGCUGACCUGUAGUUUAGUGGUGUCAUUUGUGAGGAGUCCGUGUUUGUGUGAACGCAUCAGAAGUGGCCAGGUUGGUUUGGAAAGAAAAAUACACUUCUCACAGAACAUGAUUGGAAGGUUCUAGAAUGCUCAGUAAUAAAUCCCUUUAUCUCCUUCUUUCGCCUUAGCAGUGGAGACAAGUAGCCUGUUCCUUGGCUGCCUAACGUGGAGAAUGAAAAACUAGAAGACUUGGGCUAGGUUCCUAAAGAUUUGGAUGUGCUGAUUAGCACAGACCCCAUUUGUUUGCAUGGUUACCUGUAACAACUGCAGUUUCUACAAGAAACUAAUCAGUGUUCACAAAGAUGUUGGCAAAUAUACUUCCUAAUGAUAAAGUGACCAAAGGCCUGACUUCUCGGUAGUUCUAUCAGCAUGCCUGAAUUAUGUGGUUUUGUUUUAAAGAUAUAUGUAUUUAUUUGAAACGCAGAGUGAGAGAGAAGGAGAGAGGGAGAGAGUGAGAGGAAAGAGACCUAUUUGCUUCCCAAAUGGCCACCAUAGCCAGGGCUGGGCUAGGCUGAAGCCAGGAGCCUGGAGUUCCAUCUGAGUUUCCCAUGUGAGUGUCAGGGACCCAUCUUCUGCUGCUUUCCCAGGUGCAUUAGUGGGGAGCUGCACUGAAAGCAGAGCAGCUGGGACUUGAAUUGGCGCUCCAAUAUGGGAUGUCGGCAUCAAAGGCAGCAGCGUAAUCUGCUGCACCUCAACACUGGCCCUUAAUGGAAUUUGGAGUCCCAUGGCAAGUUUUUAAAUGCUGGUGUUUUUUAAAGAAUACAAUAUAUUGCUUAAUGAUGGACAACCUGUUAUACGAUAGAUUUUUUGAACCUAUUUCUCCUAUCUAACUGACCAACAUCUCCCCAAUACUCCCUCUCAUGUCUUGAGAUUUCUUUGAAUCAUGUGUUAUUUACAAGUGCGUUAUUUAGUCUUCAAGUAUUUUGGUAUUUUCUAGCUUUCUCUUAUUGAUCUCUAGUUUAAUUGCAUUGUGAUCUGAAAGCAGACAUCGUAUGCUUUUUAUUAUUUUAAAUUGUUAAGGUGUAUUCUGAGGCCCAGAUAGUCUGUUUGGUCUACGUGGCCCAGAUGUGCCAUCUGCUGUUGAAGUAGUUGGUAGAUGUCAAUUAUAUCUAGUUGAUUGAGUUGCUGUUCAGUUCCGCUUUGUCCUUUUGAUUUUCUUUUUUUUUUUUUUUUUUUUUUUUUGACAGGCAGAGUGGACAGUGAGAGAGAGAGACAGAGAGAGAAAGGUCUUCCUUUGCCGUUGGUUCACCCUCCAAUGGCCGCCGCUGCAGCCGGCGCACCGCGCUGAUCCUGGCAGGAGCCAGGUGCUUUUCCUGGUCUCCCAUGGGGUGCAGGGCCCAAGCACCUGGGCCAUCCUCCACUGCACUCCCUGGCCAUAGCAGAGAGCUGGCCUGGAAGAGGGGCAACCGGGACAGAAUCUGACGCCCCAACCAGGACUAGAACCCGGUGUGCCGGCGCCGCAAGGUGGAGGAUUAGCCGUCCUUUUGAUUUUCUAACUGCUGGAUCUGUGGGGGGUGUUGAAGCUUCCAUCGAUAAGAUAUUUGUCUGUUUCUCUUUGUAGAUGAUUAGUUUUGUCUCAGGCAUUAAUUUUUUUAAUUUGAGAGUCAGAGAAAGAGAGAGUGAGAGAGAGAAAGACAGCAAUUGUUCCCAUAACUGGCCCAUUCUCCAAAUGCCUUCAACAGCUGGAGUGGGCUGUGGUUGAAACUGGGAGCCUGAAACUCAAUCCAGAUCUCCUACAUGGGUAGCAGAGACUCAAUUAUUUGAAUUAUCACUGUCUCCCGGGGUGUGAAUUUGGCAGGAAGUUGGAGUCCGGAGCUGGAGCUGGGUAUUGAACUCAGGCACUCUGAGAUGUGACUGACUUAACUGGUUUCCUUUUUUUUUUUUUAAGAGUUAUUUAUUUCUUUAUUAUUUUUAUUCUUUACUUUCUUAUUUGAGAGGCAGAGUAACAGAGGGAGAAGGAGAGACAGAGAGAGGGAAUGAGAUUUUCCAUCUGCUCAUUCACUCCCCAAAUAGCCACAAUAACCAGAGGUAGGCCAAGCUGAAGCCAGGAGCCAGGAACUCCAUCUGGGUCUCCCACAUGGGUGGCAGAGGCUUAAGUACAUAAGCCAUCAUCUGAUGCUUUCCCUGGGGGCAUUAGUAGGAAGCUGGAUCAGAAGUGGAGCAGCCAGGCUCUGCACCAGCACUCCUAUGUGCAAUGCUGGUGUUGUAAGUGGAAGCUUAACCUACUACCCUACAAAGUCUUUCCCUUAGCUGGUGUCUUAACUGCUAGGCAAAACACCCACCUCUGCCCCAGGUAUAUUGAUGCUCUGUUGUUAGGUACAUACAAAUUAAGGACUGUUAAGUUUUCUUGGAGAACUGACACCUUUAUCAUUAUGCAAUUACCUUCUUUAUCCACCUUGUUCUGAAAUCUGCUCAGUCAGAAAUUAAUAUAGCUAUGUACACUUUCUUUUGAUUAGAGCUAGUAUGGUGAUUCUCCAUUCCUUUACUUCUAAUCUAUAUAAACCAUUACAUGUAAAAUGCAUGUCGUGUAGACAACAUAUAGUUGGAUCUUUUUUUUUUGAUCCACUCUGAAAAUCCCAAUUGCUUGUUAAAUUUAGACAGUUGAUGUUCAAAGUAAUUAUUGACACAGUUAGAUCAAUAGCUACUAUAUUUGUUACUGUGUUCUGUUCAUUGUCCUUGUUCUUUGCUCUUAUUUUUGUCUUCACACUUUUUUCGAGUUUUGUAAUUACAAACCCACCUGUAGGCGAGCUUGUGGUUGCAGAGUCUCAGGAUGUUUUUCCUUUCCAUGCUGUGCCAGGGUUCAAACGAGGCAACCUGCUUUGCUGUUCCUGGUCUGGUUUGUUCCUACCCGAAGGGUAUGUCAUCAGUACAGGGGGCCCUGGAAGUUUCUUAAUAGACUCUCAACCUUGUCUCCCAUUUCCUGCACUUCUCAAGUUACUGAGCUUGGCCAAUGUCCUCAAGCUACAAGCUGCCUUUAGUGUUCCCUAGGCAAUUAACUUUAGUCAGAUCACUUGAGAGUUCCUGAUUUUGCUUAAUAUUGUCCUCUAAGUUUUCCUUAAUUCUUUUUAAAAAAAGUGUUAUUAUUUAAAAAGUAUUCUAUUCAAUAUUUUGAAUUGUUUUCAGCAAUUGGAUUAAUCAGC